UUUUAGGUUUAUUUCAUUAAAAAUUAAGUAUAUUCAGUUUUUUCUCCUAUUAUUUUCAGCAAAUUUUUGAUGGAACCCAUUCAAAAGCCUAGUUUAUUUUAUGUUUUCCAAUUUGAGUUUGUAUCAAACUCAUCUUGAGAUCCGAGACCCACCAUACUGUGAUUGUGAAAAGAACUUGUGCUAUAAAAAAAGUUAUUGAAAAUGUCAACUUUAUUAUAUUAUUGAAUGAACUAUUGAUGUUGGAAUCUUGAAAGUUAAAUUUUAUUAUGAAAUUAUUAACUUUUAUCGCUAGUACCAAAUGACCUUGAAAUGUAACUAACUAAUCAUGUAAAUAUUAAAUAAUAUGUUUCCAUCCGUACGUGUGCACAAAACAAAAUGAAUGGAAAUAGAAUGGGUGGGAUGUCCAAUCUAAAAAAUUCAGCCUUGCUUUCUUGUUGUCCUUUUUUCUAUUUAGACUAUUUUAGGACCAUAACAUUGUGGCAUAUUUUUUGUCUGUCAUAUGCUUAUGAACUCAAACAAGAAGAAAAUAAUAUGUUUUUUCACCAAAAAAAAAAGAAAGUAUAUCUUUAUUCUACCCAUUCGAAAAGGCUAUGCUUUUGAUUCUCUUAUAAACUAAUGUUAUACUGAGUGUGUUACAUUUGUGUAUCACAGUCAAGAAAUAAGAAGAAGAUUUGCAUAAAAUAACCAUCAAUAGUAAGAUCAAAAAAAUUUGUAUGUUGUCCCCACUCCCAGCUAGUGUUAGCAGAUUGAAGCUUUGGGCAGUGGUUGCAGGUUCGUUUGUUGUGUUUAUCGGAGAAAGCCUUAAACUCGACUGAAUUCUUCAUUGUGUUCAAAAUGAAGAAAGAGAUACAAGAAAGUGAUGAAGACAUUGAUCUUACUUAAGAAGAUUUUUGGAUUGUUGAUAAAUGGUCUAAUAUCAAUAUUUUCAAUAUUUAAUUUCUUGAAACUUAUCGCGACUCGAACUUGAUACUAUGUUAAAAUUUAACUAAUCAUUUGGACUUAAUUAACAUUUUGCUUUUCGGUUUAGAUUA